rfam:Schistosoma haematobium scaffold474_48, whole genome shotgun sequence.
AUCCAACUGACGAGUCCUAAUUUGGACGAAACACGCUUCCUGUAU